rnacentral:rRNA from 1 species
GGAUACAAAAAAAAAAAAAAGGCUGCGCCAGAUCUUGUCUGACCUCGGAAGCUAAGCAGGGUCGGGCCUGGUUAAUACAUGGAUGGGAGACCGCCUGGGAAUACCAGGUGCUGUAAGCU